CCGUUUACAUGUAUUCGUCUUGGAAGGCUUCUGACUCAUGUAAUGGCUUCUCCAGUGCACAGCAGGCUACAGCACCUGGAGGCCAAGUGGCAUGCUGAAACUUUUCUGCUGUGCUCCUGGAUUUCCACAAAGGCAUUCUCAUUCAUGAGUGAUAGUCUAGACUGCUGUUCUUUGGUGGGUGGGGGGAAGAUAAUAGAAGACUCUUAUUUUGCCCUGUUGAUUUCAUCCCAAAAAUGUUUCAAAGAAGAUUUCUGUGAACUGAAGUUUUACUCUUUAGCACAGUCAAAUUCAUAAUCUAUCAUAUUUUAUUGUUAACGUUGUAUUGUUUUAAGACAUUCUUAUCGAUGCAAAGGUGAAAUAUGUUUUCUCUUAUAUUUUCUUGAAAAAAUUGUGCAAUUUUGUUGUUGACAUUUGUUUCCAAAAGGAUUUGAUGUUUUUGUAUGGUGUUAAGUAGCCAUCCAUUUCAUUUUGUCCUUGUAAAAUAAUUUUUCAGGCCCAUUUUUCCUCCUGUCCACCCUGAUCUCCACACUUCCCUUGUCUGUGUGAAAAGUCUAUAGGUAGUGGGUCUGUUUCUCUGCUCUCACUUUAGCUCCCUUAUGGACAUUAUUUUCUAUAUAAUCCUUAGAGUCAGGAUACUGAAAUGCUAGUAACUGGUACAAAAGGGGCUUUGACAGUGAUUAAGAAUCAACCAAGGAUUGUAUUGGGCAACUUAUUUGCAUUUUAUCCUUUAAUCUUGGCAGUGUUCUCUGAAUUAUAUCUCAUUAUCCAAACUUCACAUAUGAGGAAACCAAAGCUCAGGAAGAUAGUGUGACUUACUUAAUCGCAAUCAGCUUGAAAGUGGUGGCGGCCAGAAUAUGAAUCCAAAUUCUGUGUUCUUUCUCUUGUACUAUAUUGUUUUCCUAAAUCACCCAAAUUAAAUUAAUUCACGACUUUAGGAAUUGGAAUGAGAGUAAGAUCAAUGUAAGAAUAAUUAUAUAAUUUAAUUUAGGCGUUUCUCCUAGUUGGAAGGCAGACUUUGGAACACAGAGUGAGCAUGAAAUAUGCAGGCAUUGUUUUUGGCAUUCAGAUAAUGGGCUUUGGGCCACAUUUCUGCCACCUACCAACUGGUGGGGUUGGGUCACAUACCACCAACUCUUAAUCUCAUUGACUAAGGGAAUAAAGUGAAGCCCAUGGCCA
ensembl:lncRNA